rnacentral:lncRNA from 1 species
UCAGAUGAGUUUCACCGAUCAUCGAGAUGACUGCUAAACACUGCAUCCUGCGAGAUGUGACGCUAACUCUUCUCUUUUGUGUUGCUGUUUUAAUGCUUCUCUUUACUAGUUCGUUUUCUUGGGCAGCUAAUACCAACGGAUGUUCGUUCGGUCCGGCAAUGUGUAAUCGUCAUUGUUUGGGACUGUCCCGCUCCGGCGGGUCCUGUGAAUUAAAUAGUUCGAAUACACCCUUCGAGAUACGAUGUGUUUGCUUCGAUAAGAUAUGAUAUCUACUAAGACGCCAAUAUAUCGCAAUUCUUAUCAGUUGAUAUUUGCAUUUGAUCUUCAUUCAUGAGUAAAUGAUGCUGAAUCAAAUUCCCAUGAAGCAGCACCACAAUACCAAACUCCUAGAAAGGUUACUCGAGUUUCGGCAAUAUUAUGAAGUUUCUCUAGGAACAAAUAAGAUUUGAAGUUCACCUUUCAAUUUGACGUCUCACGCGACUGAAGGGAGACAACAAUGCUUCAUCGUUACAACGGAAAUGACCACUACUACGCAUUACAUCUCAGCUAAGGUAUAGUAACGUCAGCAAUCACCCGUCUUUUGCUUGGUGUAAGAAUAAAAAGGACAGAGAAAGGCAUAUAUAUAUAUAUAUAUGCGCCUUUCUCAAUCCUUUAUAUAUAUAUUAUUUAUGCAUUUAGCUUAGCUGGAAGAUGCGCAAACGCAGCGCUCCCCAUCGCUCUAUCUUUAUUCCUGAGCUGCUGAAUUAAUUUGCUCCCAACGAUCCGUUAUUCAGUAACCCGACAUUUUUCCAAAUCGCUAAAGAAAAGGGGUGUAGAACAAUAUAAACUAAGGCAAUGAUACGCAUAUAGUCAAGUAGAGAGGUACUGAAGAGUGUUUUAAUUGUUGAAUUAUUUAGUAGAACCAAUUUUCAGUUUCAGUGGUUUAGGUAAGUGAAGACAAUCAUGUGAAAACCGUUCACGUACAGAACUAUAUCUCAUAUAGAAUAUGAUUGGUCGUACAUUUUACCUAACAGAUGAAUUGUUCUCGAUUUUUCAGUGAUAAAAGCCUGCUUUUACCAGAACACAAUUAAAACAACAUAUUAGCAAUGUUUGACCUUAAAAAAACAUGUAAUUUUCUGUGGGAAAACUAGAAAAAAACUAAAAUGUAUCGCCCGUGUUUAUUUUUAAUUAAUGCUUCUUGUUCAGUUGAAUCCGCUGACAAUUCACACAACAGUUUUUGCUCAGAGCAGAUGAUUUUAUCCCGGAACCAAUACCUGGUGUGGAAUGGUGCUACAGUUGACACUGCAGCUCCUUCAUGCGGCGACCUUGACGACCUCCCACCGGGGCAUGCACUCGUAAUAGGGGAGCAAACUAAAUUACAAAGACGACUCUUUCAUCAUUUUUGCCCGUUGCCGCAUGAGACGCCAACCCCUAAUUCGCUCAAGGGAUUUAGGCCGUUUAGAAGACUACACAGUUUUUGCCGACACGUGCAACAUGCACGACGAACAUUACGGAGUUACCUUUCUUUGUGAUAGUUCUUUUCUGAUAGAUGACCUAUAGAUAUGGUAGUAAGUGAUGUUAGGUAUCUAAGAACUGUUGAGUAACUCUCGUAAAUAUCGUUUUCAGUUACUGACUUUUAAAGGUAUAGAUUGUAAAGGAUUUUUCAAUGAAUGAUAGAUACAAACAAUCCUUACUUAUUUACACUAUCUGAGAAUGUAUCUUUUCUAUAUGUGGUACAUAUGGUAAAGUUGGCUGGAGUUUCGUCCUCAAUGACUGUUAUUUAUCUGUUAAACGGCCUGUUCAAUUAAUUCCACCACAUAGGAAACACUACUCGUUAUCUAUUUGGUACAUUUCUGUACUUCAGCGCCUCGGUGCCUGGUGAUUACGUUGUCACUGCACUAUCACUUACGGCUUCAAAUCAGCUUCAUACUUUUAAUGUAGCUGUGAAAAAAACAGCAAUCCAAGUAAACUGUUGUAAAUAUG